rnacentral:misc_RNA from 1 species
CAGCCGCGUAAUUCCAGCUCCAAUAGCGUAUAUUAAAGUUGUUGCAGUUAAAAAGCUCGUAGUUGAAUUUCGAGAUCAGUACGCUGGUCGUGCCUUCGGUAUGCACUGGUGUCACUGGUUUCUCCCUUCUGAAGAACCGUCAUGCCAUUCAGUUGGUGUGGCGGGGAAUCAGGACUGUUACUUUGAAAAAAUUAGAGUGUUUAAAGCAGGCUCGCGCUUGAAUACAUUAGCAUGGAAUAAUGAAAUAGGACGUUUGCCCCUAUUUUGUUGGUUUCUAGGAUCGACGUAAUGAUUAAUAGGGAUAGUUGGGGGGAUUAGUAUUCAAUUGUCAGAGGUGAAAUUCUUGGAUUUAUUGAAGACUAACUACUGCGAAAGAAUUUGCCAAGGAUGUUUUCAUUAAUCAAGAACGAAAGUUAGGGGAUCGAAGACGAUCAGAUACCGUCGUAGUCUUAACCAUAAACUAUGCCGACUAGGGAUCGGAUGAUGUUAAUUUUUUAAUGACUCAUUCGGCGCCUUACG